rnacentral:rRNA from 1 species
GAGAGGCCCAAACGUUAUUCGGAAUUACUGGGCUUAAAGAGUUCGUAGGCGGCGCAGAAAGUAGGGUGUGAAAGCCCUCGGCUUAACCGAGGAAUUGCGCCCUAAACUACUGUGCUUGAGGAACCUAGAGGUGAGCAGAACAGAUGGUGGAGCGGUGAAAUGCGUUGAUAUCAUCUGGAAUACCGGAGGCGAAGGCGGCUCACUGGGGGUUUUCUGACGCUGAGGAACGAAAGCCAGGGUAGCGAACGGGAUUAGAUACCCCGGUAGUCCUGGCCGUGAACGAUGAGCACUAGGCCGGAGGGCUGCACAGCCUUUCGGCCGUAGCUAAAGUGUUAAGUGCUCCGCCUGGGGAGUAUGGUCGCAAGGCUG